AGUCCUCGGCUCGGUUCUCCGAGUACUUGUUCGCCAAGAUGGAUGGCCAGGACGUGUCGGCCUCUCAGGGUCCCCGUAAGGUGACCGCCGACACCAGAAAAUUCAUGCGGGAGAAUCUUCUUCUCAUAGUUACCCUUUCCGGUGUCCUCUUCGGCGUCGUACUCGGGUUCGGUUUACGACCCUUGGGCCUCGGCGAUGACGCAGUUAUGUUAAUCAGUUAUCCCGGAGAGCUCUUCAUGAGGUUGUUAAAGUUAAUGAUCUUACCACUGGUGAUUGCCAGCCUUAUAUCGGGCUCGGCGAGUUUGAACGCGAGGAUGAACGGGAUGAUCGCCGUCCGAACUUUGGUGUACUUUAUACUCUCCUCCUUGUUGAACGCUGUCCUCGGUGUUGUCCUGGUUCUGCUCAUUCAUCCGGGUAAUCCUGGAAUUAGAAAAUCGAUCGCGACCUCGCACAAUGGAAGGGCCGUGAACAUCUUGGACAGCCUUCUCGAUUUGGGAAGAAAUAUGUUUCCGGAUAAUAUAUUCCAAGCAGCUUUUCAGCAGGCACACACGGUAUACGUUCCAAAAACGCCGCCCUUCCAGAACCUCACCUCGACGGUUUCCAUAUCCUCGGACGUUCUCGGUGACGAGGAAUUGAUGAGAGUGACGCAGUACAGAAGCGGGACAAACACUCUGGGCAUUGUUUUCUUCUGCCUGGUGUUCGGCACAUUCUUGGGUACUCUCGGGGAGAAAGGCCAAAUCGUGAUCGACUUCUUCAAAGCUGUGUUCGAAGUGAUCAUGAGAAUGGUGUCUACGGUGAUGUGGAUGACACCUGUGGGCAUCACGUCCGUGAUAGCUGGGAAAAUAUUGGGCGUAGCCGACUUGGCGUUGGUGAUGUCGCAGCUCGCCUGGUUCAUCGUCACGAUCGUGAUCGGUGUGUUUUUCUAUCAGCUGGUGAUCAUGCAGCUGAUCUAUUUGGCCUUCGUGAGAAAGAACCCCUUUAAAUUCUACGCCGGCCUCGCCCAGGGUACACUCACCGCCUUCGCCAUGGCAUCAACGGCUGCCGCACUUCCCGUCACUUUUCGCCUGAUGACGGACAAACUUCGAGUCGAUCCUAGAGUGACCAGAUUCGUUCUACCGAUCGGUUGCAAUAUUAACAUGGACGGGACGGCGUUGUUCGUGGCAGUGGCAAGCAUAUUCAUCGCCCAGAUGCACGGGAUCGCUUUGGGCUUCGGUGAAAUCAUAACGGUUAUUUUGACCUCCACCGCCGCGUCCGUGUCAUCGGCGUCAGUCCCAAGCGCCGCUUUGGUCCUCCUUCUGGUAGUGUUGAGCGCCAUCAACGCCCCCGUUUACAACGUCUCCCUUUUAUUCACCAUCGAUUGGUUCGUGUAAGUAACGGAUCGCAUUCGUACCACGAACAACAUGUUGGGCGAUUGCUACGCCGCCGCUGUGGUCGAGCAGUUGUCGAAAAAGGAAUUGAUGGCGCUGGAUGCGGCAGCCUAUCAAUCGGAAACCGUUUUGCCCACAACGAUCGCGAACGGAUGCAUUUCCGCAAACAGGGUACCCGAUCCCGACACCAUCGUCGUCGAGAUGCAAGACGACACGAGGAUAGCCGGCGUCGCCAAGUAAACAAGCUUGUUGCAUCAGCGUGUUGCAGAUACCGAGGAGCGUGACGGAAGAGACAGUUUGACCUGUGGCUUCGCUACGAAAACAUAGUUUAGCUUUAAGUUACACCAUCAUCUAAAGAGAGAGAGAGAAAGAGAGAGAGAGAGAGAGAGAAUGCGAUGCGUUCAUUGCGGGGAUCAAAAAAAAGAAACAGUUCAUCGGCUACGAGAAGAAAAAAAAAAAAAAAAAGAAAUGUUUUUCUACUCUAUUUCUCUCCGAGUGUUGUAAAGAAUUACGGCACUGCUGUCUCAAAAAAACGAAUAUCAAAUAAAGUAAAGUCAAUAUAUCGAGGAGUGCGCUACGCGAUUUAUCGUCGUUUAGUGCUAUGCGAGCAUAGCAAUAACUUUUGUAGUGGCUUCUUCGAGCGAGUUGAGAUGAGGAGAAAAAGAAAA
rnacentral:misc_RNA from 1 species